ensembl:lncRNA
UAAUCUCUCUUUGAUGCACCAGAAUGGACUUUUAUGCAAAAUUAUGCCACUUCUCUGCUUAGAACCCUACAGUGGUUUCCUGUUGCACACACCCUAUGACCUGCCAAACAUUAUAUCACAUUCACUCUUUAAUCUCAUCUCCUGUUAUGGUAUCUUUCCUGCACAAGUCUCCAACUACACUAGCAAUCUUGCAGUUUCCUGAACACAACAAGCAGAGAGGGAAAAGGGACUACCAUGGACCCGGUGCUGACAGUUGUGCUCCCCUGAAAUCCAGAGGCAGGGCAAGUCUUAUUGCACACAUUGUCCAAAGGGAGUGGUGUGGUGAGGAAAGAUCUGACUGGUUGAGACACUCUGCUCAAGAGCCUGGUCUCCAGAGGUAGGGACAGCCAUGCAUUGGAGGGUUCCACCCUUAACACUUACCUACAUGAACAACCUUAGUGAAAUCAUGACAAUUGUCUGCCAAAAACCAACCAGCUGCUAACUUUCACACUUACAGAUACAUACAGACAUUUUUUAUUCAUAACCUUGCACGCAGGUAAUUGUAUGAUUACAUGUGUAGAGGGAAACAUUCUCCUAAAACCAUAUGCAAGUUUGUGGGAGCCUAUUUUGGGAGCCUAAUAUGGUGUUAGAUGCAGGUUUUAUGCACAAAUAUCAGGAUAUAUACAUACAUGGAAGCACAAGAACACAUAUAGCUGCUGCCUGCCAACACAGUCACACUCUUUACUCUUCAGGUUGGCCUGGUAUGAGACAUUAGGGAGUGGUGAGCACUGUGGUUGACUGCCCAGGCAUUCAUUUUCAAAAUCUUUAAAACUAUAGAGCAAAUGAAACUUGUCUUCAAGAUAAAUCAUGCUAUGAUGUGAGUUUUCCUACCACCUAUACAGUUAAAGAAACCUGGGGUCAGACCAGAGAUGGCAGUGGUAUGAAGGUCUUUUUACAACAAAGGCUGAAACCAGCCCAGACAACUUGUCUUGUAUAUUCUAAGCUCCACUUUUUUAUUGCUUUCAAGGCAAAGGUCCCAAUCCCCACUCCUCUUCUCACUAUGCUGUUGUAACUGACCAGCGGACCUAGACUAUUAGCGUCAGAAGCUGUGGCUGGAAAAAGCAAUAGAAUGGGAAUGAGGAGUCUUGGUUUGAGUCCUAAGGCUUCGACUCUCAUACCCUUUGACCUCAGGCAUUUCACUUCACUCCCCGAAGUCUUGGUUUUCUCACUUGUAAUAUGAGAGAACUAGGGUUGUGGGGAGACAGUAUUAUACUAUAUGAUCUCCAAAGGUUUCAUGCAGGUCUAACAUUCUUGGAACUAGUAAAGCAUUGUUUCAUAGGAAACCCCCUAGCAGUCUUGCAAAGCCUUGGACAUUCACCCUGCUAGAAGCUAUUAGUCACAACAUAAGUUUUUAUUUAGCCAGUUGAAGGUGUGUAACAUGGGAUUGUGGUUGUCAAAAUGGAAACCACUUGGGCCUUCACAUAGGUGGCUGAAGAAAUUUAUCCAAGCAAAAGAUAGCAUCAGGUCCUGCACUAACAACUUUCUGGUUGGGAAAGACCCCCAACACCUGCCUUCAUUCAGUGAGACAAUUGUAUAACUCACCUGCAGUAGUGUGCUGGUUAAAGGUAACGAGUUGAACUUGUAGCUUGCCCCUCUCUCACUACAUAAACUCCUUUCUUCUCUCUGGAAGGAGUUCAGUUUCCAGCAGAAGUGAUGACAGAUAAACAGAUUCCAGUUUGAAAAAUGCUAAAAUCUUGAAGGGAGUGGGGUAUGUUGGUGGAUAGGAGAAGUUAGAUCUUUAAUAAAUCCCACAAAUUAUUCCAGGCAAUUUGUUUACUGAGAAUUUUUAACUUUCGAGUGUUAAGAUUUUCCUAGAUAAUCAUUUGUUUAAUUCAGGUUUUCAAAGGCAUUUACUUCAGACUCCUUUUAUUCUCUUAAUUUAUUUUCUAUUGCUGUUUUAAAAACACACAAAAAAUACUUAGUGACUCAUUUAAAAAAUAUUAUUGGUGAGGAGAUGAAGCACAGUUUCAAAGAGUUACAAAUUAAAAAUAUUAAUUGACAUCUGAAUGGCAAGAAUCCGUUUGCCUCAACUCUCUAAGCUCUAAUGAUGUUUGUGUCUCCAAGUCAAGUUCCAAAGUAACCAUUGUUCCCAAUAGGUAAAAUUCCUCUGGCCUCUGGUCCUGUUGAACCUUAAGGCUUAUCAUAGAAUUGCUUCAAAUUGCAAGAAAUGAGCAUGGAAUGCUUCCCUACCCCUAGCCAGGGCCUGUUCCAGUUACAACCAACAAUCAAUAAAGCCUGGUGCUUCUCCCAUAGUCCCAACCCUCUCACGCACUCUCACCACCUCAUUGAGGGCUUUGGAAUUUCCAGGAUACAGUAUACAAGUCUUACCAAAAUCCCAGAUGGAGCACCUCUCAGUCAUAACUUAAGAAGAUGCUCUCAGAUCUUGACUCCCAGACACAGCCCAGACUCACUAUGAUCUUGAAGUGCCUUAUGAACUUUAACCAAUGGUCCAUCCUGUCCUCAAUCUCUGGUGCAUAAACUGUUUCCCACGUCAAACACCAGCACAGGCUCUAUGCCAUCCAGCACUGCAUUGUUCCUUGACAUGUAUUUUUUGUUUGUUUGUUUGUGUACUCAACACAUAAUUGAUGAGGCACUUUCUACAUAACAGGCACUGCACAAUAGACUGAGGGAUGAACUGAUUAGCACUUUGCCCCUUUGGUGACCUGUUGAGAUAUAAUAAUAAUGGUCAUACUGAGCUUUGAGAGUAAAAUAAAAGUAGCAGUACACUCAGGAGGGGACAAAAAUAUUCCAUUCCUUCCUUCUCCAUCAAAUUUUAAUUUGUGGAUCCUCAAGCCCAAAUGAUCCUGGAAGACCCCUGUCUGCAUGAAGACAUUUAUUUGUGGCCUUUCAUUUCAAGUAAUUGAGUUUUGAUAUCUAUACCAAACAAAGAAACGUCCAGACUCCCAUCACAUUAUAGCUUCCCCUAAACAGUUGCAACAAACAGGUUCAGUAAAUGACCAGUUAUAAGAUUAAUAUGUUAAAAAAUAGCUUUCCAGUGACUAAAAUCCAGCUGGAAGGGCAAGGAAGUUUUAUUUCAUUACUGCAUCUCCUAAGAAGUUUAGUAAGUCUCUGUUUCCCAAAUAUGCAAAAGCAAUAAUUUGCUUCUAGGGCAAGAAGCAAUAAUGUAUGUGUAUGGAAUGAACUGACAUUCAUCUGAAGCUCAAUAAAAGUUAUUCCCUUCCCUUUGUAAAAAAAACAAAAAAACAAACAAAAAAAAAAAA